rnacentral:rRNA from 1 species
GAUGAACGCUGGCGGCGUGCCUCAAACAUGCAAGUCGAGCGGGGGCUAUGUAAUAUCGCAAGGUAGAACAUAGCCUAGCGGCGAACGGGUGAGUAACACGUGGGUAACCUGCCUGGAAGACAGGGAUAACGAUUCGAAAGGGUCGCUAAUACCUGAUAAUAUCCUUUCAUCGCAUGGUGAUAGGAAGAAAGGGGGAAACCCGCUUUCAGAUGGGCCCGCGUCCCAUCAGCUAGUUGGUAAGGUAAAGGCUUACCAAGGCGACGACGGGUAGCCGGUCUGAGAGGAUGUACGGCCACACUGGGACUGAGAUACGGCCCAGACUCCUACGGGAGGCAGCAGUUGGGAAUCUUAGGCAAUGGACGAAAGUCUGACCUAGCGACGCCGCGUGAGGGAAGAAGGCCUUCGGGUUGUAACCUACUGUCUAUGGGGAAGGAAGGAAGUAGACGGUACCCCGAACGAGGAAGACCCCUCGCUAACUACGUG